rnacentral:rRNA from 1 species
GGAUAAACGCUGGCGGCGUGCCUAAUGCAUGCAAGUCGCACGGGGGUGUCACUUCGGUGGCGCCGAGUGGCGAACGGGUGAGGAACGCGUGGACAACCCUACCCCGGCGUGGGGGAUACCCGCCAGAAAUGGCGGCUAAAUACCGCGUACGGUUGCUCGGCGGAGGGCCGGGCAAAAGAAAGCAGCGAUGCGCGCUGGGAGGGGUCUGCGGCCGAUUAGCUAGUUGGCGGGGUAGUGGCCCACCAAGGCGAUGAUCGGUAGCUGGUCUGAGAGGAUGAUCAGCCACAC